CCCCUAGAUGUUCUGGGCCGCACGCGCGCUACACUGAACAGUUCAACAAGUCUUAACCUUGGCUGAUAGGUCUGGGUAAUCUUUGAACGCUGUUCGUGAUUGGGAUAGACCUUUGCAAUUAUGGGUCUUCAACGAGGAAUUCCUAGUAAACGCAAGUCAUCAGCUUGCGUUGAUUACGUCCCUGCCCUUUGUACACACCGCCCGUCGCACCUACCGAUUGAAUGGUCCGGUGAAAUCUCGGGACGGCGGCUUGGUCGCUUGCGUCCGACUGCUGAAACUUGAUUAAACCAUAUCAUUUAGAGGAAGGUGAANUCGUANCA
rnacentral:rRNA from 1 species